rnacentral:rRNA from 1 species
UACGUAGGCAGCGAGCGUUGUUCGGAAUUACUGGGCGUAAAGAGUGUGUAGGCGGUGCUCCCAGUCUGUUGUGAAAUCUCCCGGCUUAACUGGGAGGGUGCAGCGGAAACUAGAGUGGCUAGAGGGUGGGAGAGGUAAGCGGAAUUCCUGGUGUAGCGGUAGAAAUGCGUAGAUAUCAGGAGGAACACCUGUGGUGUAGACAGCUUACUGGACCACUUCUGACGCUGAGACACGAAAGCGUGGGUAGCAAACAGG